rnacentral:telomerase_RNA from 1 species
CGAUCUCCGGCUGGGAGGCUCUCGCUAUUCUAACCCUAACUGGUCUUUCUUGACAUCUAUUACGCAUGCGCUGUUUUUCUCGUUGACUUUCAGCGAUUUGAACACUCAAAAAAGUCAACGGCGAGAGCCUCCUACCCGGGAGGCCCCGCGCCUCUUCUUCGCCUUCAUGGUUUCCCUCCAGUUGGGCCUCGCCGUCCCGUCUACGAGGCCGCGGCCAGGCUUUCCUGUCGCGAAGGGUUCGCCCCUGUCAGCCUUAGGGCGGAGGAGGCUCCGGCUGAGGAGCGAAGGCAGCUGAGGGGAACGGCAGAGAAGCGCCAGAGAAAAGCGGGCACGCCUUUCCCCCCGCAAGGGGGCGCUGCGCUCUUGAUCGGUAGGGCGUGCGGCGUAAGGCAGGUCCCGACAGGC